AGUCGAGCGAUGAGCACCUUCGGGUGUGAAUUAGCGGCGAACGGGUGAGGAACACGUGAGAAAUCUGCCUUCACACUGGGAUAACUCCGGGAAACCGGGGCUAAUACCGGAUAUGAAAUCUGCGGGCAUCCGCGGAUUUGGAAAGUUUUUCGGUUGAAGAUGAUCUCGCGGCCUAUCAGCUUGUUGGUGAGGUAAUGGCUCACCAAGGCGACGACGGGUAGCCGGCCUGAGAGGGCGACCGGCCACACUGGGACUGAGACACGGCCCAGACUCCUACGGGAGGCAGCAGUGGGGAAUAUUGGGCAAUGGAGGAAACUCUGACCCAGCGACGCCGCGUGCGGGAUGAAGGCCUUCGGGUUGUAAACCGCUUUCAGCAGGGAAGAAGCGAAAGUGACGGUACCUGCAGAAGAAGCACCGGCUAACUAUGUGCCAGCAGCCGCGGUAAUACAUAGGGUGCAAGCGUUGUCCGGAAUUAUUGGGCGUAAAGAGCUCGUAGGUGGUUCGUCACGUCGGAUGUGAAAAUCUGGGGCUUAACCCCAGACCUGCAUUCGAUACGGGCGAGCUUGAGUAUGGUAGGGGAGUCUGGAAUUCCUGGUGUAGCGGUGGAAUGCGCAGAUAUCAGGAGGAACACCAAUGGCGAAGGCAGGACUCUGGGCCAUUACUGACACUGAGGAGCGAAAGCGUGGGGAGCGAACAGGAUUAGAUACCCUGGUAGUCCACGCCGUAAACGGUGGGCACUAGUUGUGGGGACCUUCCACGGUCUCUGCGACGCAGCUAACGCAUUAAGUGCCCCGCCUGGGGAGUACGAUCGCAAGAUUNAAACUCANAGGA
rnacentral:rRNA from 1 species